CAGAGCUGUGGAGUGUGACAAUGGUGUUUGUGUCCAAUCUAUCAAACGCCAUUAUCACACUAAAUAGCUACUGU
rnacentral:pre_miRNA from 12 species